AAAAAAUUAAGCGGAGCAAAUGCGGCCGGACCACCCACUCCGCUCCAAGAAACUAAUCCGGCCCGCCCCAUUUACAUGCGUUCCGCCUUCCCCUCUUUCUAUGCUUCUCUGGUCCCUGCAGCACGGAGCCGCUAACUGGGCCGUCUCUACUGAGUGCCGAGUCUCCAGCAAGCUUCAUCUCUCGUCUGGGUCGUCUCUUCCAUUCCACGGUAUCUGUCUGAGAUUUGAGGUCAUUUCUUUACUCCCUUGUUUUGAUGUUUACAGUGGUUUGGGUGAUUUUAUUCCGACCUUGAAUCCAUCGCCGUAUCUAUCCGUCGCUUGGUCGUGUGGCUGUUCAGCUAUUAGAUGCUGGAAUGGUUUGUUUCUGAUGGGAUAACUUUCAAUAUAAUCCUGUUUUCACCAAUUAGAGCAUUCUCACUUAGCUGUGGUUUUAUCUGAUUUGGAAACUUUCUUCACUGCGGAAAUGAAAAAAGUGUUUGUGGGAUCUUUUGCUUUGAAACGAUCAAUAUCAACUUUGCCUCAUCUUUGUGAGAGAGUUAAGCAAACAGAAAAUGAGAUAGUGCAAAUGUUCUACUCGCCCACUGCAAGGGAUUUGAUGCAAAACUUGCCUGUGAGUGGAAAACUGUCAAGAAAGGAUCCAUCAGUUCGGAAAUUGGAUGAAAGGUUUACGAGGAUCUUGAAAAUUUUCAAGUGGGGACCCGAUGCAGAGAAGGCAAUGGAAGUAAUGAAGCUGAGAUUGGAUCACCGAUUAAUUCUUGAGGUUUUGAAGAUUGAUGUUGAGGUCAUUGUGAAAGUUCAGUUUUUCAAAUGGGCUGCAAAAAGAAGAAAUUUUCAUCAUGACCCAAGCACUUACAUGGCUUUAAUCCGCUGCUUAGAUGAAGCAAGGUUAUUUGGUGAAAUGUGGCAGACUAUCCAAGAGAUGGUUCGAGCUAUAUCUAUUCUUGAUCCUGCUCAGUUAUCUGAAAUCAUAAGUAUAUUGGGAAAGGCUAAGAUGGUGAACAAGGCCCUAUCUAUCUUUUACUGGGUAAAAGGCCGCAAGUGCAAGCCAACAACUAAUACAUACAACUCGAUGAUCUUGGUAUUAAUGCAAGAAGGUCAUCAUGAAAAGAUUCAUGAACUUUAUAAUGAAAUGUGUAAUGAGGGAGAUUGUUUUCCAGACACUGUUACAUACAAUGCGCUUAUAUUAGCAUUUAAGAAAUUGGGUCGUCAUGAUUUUGCCAUCAGAUUGUUUGAUGAGAUGAAGGAGAAUGGCCUACAGCCAACUGCGAAGAUAUUUACCAACUUAUUGGGAGUAUAUUUCAAGUUGGGCAAGGUUGAAAAAGCUUUGGAUCUUUUCAGGGAGAUGAAGGAAAGGGGAUGUUGCCCUACUGUGUUUACUUAUACAGAAUUAAUAAAGGGUCUUGGUAGUGCUGGGAAGAUUGAAGAUGCCUACAAUAUCUAUAAGAAUCUCCUGAGAAAUGGUUGUAAACCAGAUGUAGUACUCAUGAACAAUUUAAUUAACAUCUUUAGCAAGGCAGGUCGCCUAGAAGAUGCCCUUAGUUUUUUUGAGGAGAUGGAGUCUCUUAGUUGUAUACCUACUGUUGUGACUUACAACUCUAUCCUAAAAGCUUUAUUUGAAUCAAGAGCUCCAAUUUCUGAGGUUUCUGUAUGGUUCGAGAAGAUGAAGGCAAAUGGUGUUGCUUCUAGCUCAUUUACCUACUCAAUUCUUAUAGAUGGAUUUUGUAAAAGAGGUAGAGUUGAGAAAGCUUUGUUACUUCUUGAAGAGAUGGAUGAAAAAGGUUUUCCUCCUUGUCCAGCUGCCUAUUGCAGCUUGAUCAACAGUCUUGGAAAGGCAAAACGGUAUGAAGCUGCAAAUGAGCUGUUUCUAGAAUUGAAAGAGAACUGUGGACGUUCAAGUGCUCGGGUGUAUGCUGUGAUGAUUAAGCAUUUUGGAAAGUGUGGCCUUCUUAAUGAAGCAUUGGAUCUAUUUAAUGAGAUGAAGAGACUUGGUUGUGAUCCUGAUGUUUAUGCAUAUAAUGCUCUAAUGUCAGGAAUGGUGAGGGCUGGCAUGGUAGAUGAAGCUCAUUCCUUACUUAAAACUAUGGAAGAAAAUGGUUGUGUUCAGGACUUAAAUUCACACAACAUUAUUCUAAAUGGCUUGGCUAAGACAGGUGGCCCAAAGCGGGCUAUGGAAAUGUUUACAAAAAUGAAGCAUUCUAAGAUCAAGCCAGAUGCAGUUUCUUACAACACUGUUCUUGGUUGUCUUAGUCGAGCUGGUAUGUUAGAGGAUGCUGCAAAGCUUAUGAAAGAAAUGAAUUUAAUUGGGUUUGAGUACGAUGCUAUCAGUUACUCAUCCAUACUUGAGGCUGUUGGCAAGGUUGAUGAAGUUCACAGUUUCACCACUAAGUGAAAGAGACCUGUAUGCUGCAGAAUGUUUGGGUGUCAACUGGCAAGCAACAAUAUGUGCCCUUCCGGUAGCUCAUAUGAAAGAGGCUUCUUAUGUCCAGCCUCAAUUUAUAUUCCUUCAUAUCAUUUCUUUAAGCUCCCAAAGGUUGCAUUUAAAGACGACGGUCAUUGGAUUCAUAUGCUUAUUACAGUGCAGACAUACUACUAGAUUCUUUAAACAUUUACAAGAAACUUCAUUAAAUGGAACAAUCCAUCAACAGUUCAUCCAAUAACUUAGAAGGAGCAUCACACUCCCUAUAACUACGAUCAGAAAUAAAACAAAAACAAGCAGUUCGAGCCAAGAAAUGAGCUGCUUGAUUGGCAGACUGUUUGAUACAAAACAGAAAUACAUCUCUCAAACUAGAAAUCAAAGACUUGUAAUCAGCAACAAGUAAUCUGAAUGAUGAGACCAUCUUGAUUGAGCUUCUGAUGGCCUGUACUGUAAUAAGGCAAUCGGUUUCCACUAUGACAUGCUGCAUAUUCUGCGGUUUCCACUAUAGCUUCUGUUUCCUCAGGUUGCACACUUCCACGGAACUGCCGAGUCUUUGCUGCUAAUAGUUUUCCUUCAUAGUUACGGGCUAUCCAACCAACUCCAUAGCUCCCAAAUUCUUCAAAAGUGGCUGCAUCUCUUGACCAUAUUCGCAUCUGGUUUGACCAUAUUCGCAUCUGGUUUGGUUCAAUGCUCAUUCUCGUCACUUGAUGGUUGGUAGUGUUUUGGAUAUGUCGAGAAGAAUUUGGCGCUUGAAAUGAAAUAGGAUGUUGGAAUGUCGCGGCAUGGUAUCAGCAUUGCGUUUGCCAGCUACCUGCUUGGAAGGCUCACUUGGGAAGCUAAAGUUUUGUCUUAUCCAACUCAGCUUUUGGAUUUAUUUUGAUUUGGGCUGACUAGUAAUUAAAUGAUAUUGGGCCUUUAACUUCUUUUGGUCCAUUGGCUUACAAAGAGAAGAAAAAAGAAGCAAAAAAUGAGGCCCACUUGGGUAUUUUGGAGAGGAUGACCUAACUACAUCAAUGACACCUUUCCCAUUAGGGAUAACAGAAAGAAAGGCAGAACAGCCGCCUGAUGCAGAGCUUUACCCAUUUUUGGAGGAGCUUAACUGUGAAGGAGAAGGAGGAAAGGAAAAGGCCGAAGGACAAAGUUACUUGGAGACAUCUUAUUGGCUUGACACUCACUUUAUUCUUUAUUCUCUUAGUUUUUCUUGAAUUUUCCCUCUAAUUUUCUGAACAUGGAGUUUAUUUACUUGGGUGUAGUUGAGAUAUUAAUUAUGAUAGGUGUUGACUAUGAUUUUAGCCGCGAGUCGACGCAAAAGCAACAAUAACCUUGAAUAGAAAGUAAAUAACACAAGGAAUUUUUAUAGUGGUUCA